UAGAAUCCAGUUCUCUUGGCUCGGCGC
rnacentral:piRNA from 1 species